UACGGAGGGGGCUAGCGUUGUUCGGUCUUACUGGGCGUAAAGCGCGCGUAGGCGGAUUGUUAAGUCGGGGGUGAAAUCCCGAGGCUCAACCCCGGAACUGCCUUCGAUACUGGCAAUCUGGAGUUCGAGAGAGGUGAGUGGAAUUCCGAGUGUAGAGGUGAAAUUCGUAGAUAUUCGGAGGAACACCAGUGGCGAAGGCGGCUCACUGGCUCGAUACUGACGCUGAGGUGCGAAAGCGUGGGGAGCAAACAGG
rnacentral:rRNA from 1 species